rnacentral:rRNA from 1 species
UACGUAGGGUGCAAGCGUUGUCCGGAAUUAUUGGGCGUAAAGAGCUCGUAGGCGGUGUGUCGCGUCGGCCGUGAAAACCUGCAGCUUAACUGUGGGCUUGCGGUCGAUACGGGCAGACUUGAGGCAUUCAGGGGAGAACGGAAUUCCUGGUGUAGCGGUGAAAUGCGCAGAUAUCAGGAGGAACACCGAUGGCGAAGGCAGAUCUCUGGGCCACUACUGACGCUGAGAAGCGAAAGCAUGGGGAGCGAACAGG